GAUGUGAUGGGGAGCGAAAUUUAGUAGCGAAGUAGCUGAUUUCACACUGUCAAGAAAAGUCUCUAUCGAGGUUAAAGGUACCCGUACCGCAAACCGACACAGGUGGGUGAGGAGAGUAUCCUAAGGCUAGCGAGAGAACUGUUGUUAAGGAACUCGGCAAAAUGACCCCGUAACUUAGGGAUAAGGGGUGCCACCAUCAGGUGGCCGCAGAGAAUAGGCCCAAGCGACUGUUUACCAAAAACAUAGGUUUCUGCUAAGUCGCAAGACGAUGUAUAGGAGCUGACGCCUGCCCGGUGCUGGAAGGUUAAGGG
rnacentral:rRNA from 1 species